rnacentral:rRNA from 1 species
AUGCAGCACCAAGAGAAGGGGGGCUGAUCGAGAUCAAUCAUAGGGAGGGAGAGAUGAGGGGGAGGAGAUCCGACAGGGAGGCGAGAAGGGUGACGGGCAACACCGAGACGCGCUUCUGCUACAAAUUUUGGGAGGAAGACGGAGGCGGGGGAGGCCAAGAAGGAAGGAGGGACGAACCUGGGGCCGCCGGAGACGCGCCGGCGAAGCCCUGCCCGAAACCCUAGCCACAGGAGUGGGGUUGGAAGUGGGCGGCAGAGGACGGGAGCGGAGAAUCUGGCCGGAGGGGAGGCAGGCCCGGACCAUGGGGAGCUCGGGGGCGUGUUGCGCGUCGCCGGAGGUCGCCGGAAGCGGCCAGCGUGGGUGGUCGCGGCGGCGAUGACUCCAUGGGCGAGAGGGAGAGGAGGCGAGCCCGUGCUCUUUCUGUGGUCUUCUUUUUUCUUCACAAAUCUGCUCGGACCGCGGGUUGAAUAC